CGGGGCGUAGCGCAGUCUGGUAGCGCACCUGCUUCGGGAGCAGGGGGUCGGAGGUUCGAAUCCUCUCGCCCCGACCA
rnacentral:tRNA from 1 species